GAAACCGGGGGGAGGGGGGAGAGAGGAUGCCGAUCGCCAGGACGGAGCCGAAAGAUGCCCGUGUGAGCGCCCACGUCGACAUGGAUUGCUUCUACGUCCAAGAUGGCAUAAAAAAUCUCUCACCUUAAUGAACUAAAUGCAACUCCAGUCAGAUUCUCAUUUUCUGCAAAUUAAGAUUAUGAUGUAGUAGCUACUUUCAAUACGGUAGCUCGAAAAAGAUGCUUCACUUCAUCCAAGUCAGCUCAGCUUCAAUAUGCUUUCGCUUGUGGUGGACGUUGAUCAGACUUACCAUCAAAAUAUUGAUUAUAAUGGAUCCUCCAAGAAUGAUUAGUAGGAAGAAACUGCCGAUGAUCUAUGAAACAUAUUUUUUGUCUGUGCUUUAAAUGUAAGGAGGAUGCAUCCCUAUUGCAUAUUGGACAUGUAAGAUAUCCUUUGAUACUCUAUUCAGAUAAAUUUUCAUAUACUGAAAAA